rnacentral:lncRNA from 1 species
UCCAGGAUUGAAUGAUUGACUCAAAACUACUUGUUAACAUAAGCAAAAGCAAUUUAUUUACAGGAAGGAAGACAGCAAUUAACAUAAAGGCUAUAGCGAUUAACAAUGAUAUAACAAUUAACAAAGAGUUUCACUUAAUUCUAACUUAUAUCUAAUUUAACCCUACAUUACCAACGUUUGUGAGAGAGAGUGUGAAUUCCUUGAGCUUCCAAAUACCUGAGAGAGAGAUUAUCAGAAUUACAUCAUUAAUCUAAUCAAUAGUUAUGUGAAUAUACUAAAUGUUCAAAUGUUCACAAAUGUCCUAUGCACACUAUGAAGUUCACCAUAUUCUGCCAUUUCCGUUGAUCAUCUUGUUUAUUGGCCAUCACCAUAGUCUUUCAUCAUCAUCGUUUAUCUUUUUGUUGUCAUUGCCAUCUCAGCUAUCAUCAUCGUCUCUGUCGGCCGUCCUGACAGGACGAGUUGCCUUUCCCAUCGCUAAACUUACAUCAUUGUUAUUGUUUCAUUUUCCAAUAAUAACUAUCUACCUCUCUCUGCUAUGAUUGUCUCUCUCCUCACACACUGACUAAUUCUCCUCCUUAUAUUUAUCUCAUGUCUGCAACGAGGAAGUUUCCCACAGUUAAUGGAAAGGGAACUAAUAUGUAGUUCCUUGUAGUUAUGAUGACUAAUUAUUAUCUACUUUUAAUCUUUAAU